rnacentral:rRNA from 1 species
GACGAACGCUGGCGGCGUGCCUAACACAUGCAAGUCGAGCGAGUGAAUCUCCUUCGGGAGUGAAGCUAGCGGCGGACGGGUGAGUAACACGUGGGCAACCUGCCUCAUAGAGGGGAAUAGCCUUUCGAAAGGAAGAUUAAUACCGCAUAAGAUUGUAGCUUCGCAGGAAGUAGCAAUUAAAGGAGCAAUCCGCUGUGAGAUGGGCCCGCGGCGCAUUAGCUAGUUGGUGAGGUAACGGCUCACCAAGGCGACGAUGCGUAGCCGACCUGAGAGGGUGAUCGGCCACAUUGGGACUGAGACACGGCCCAGACUCCUACGGGAGGCAGCAGUGGGGAAUAUUGCACAAUGGGGGAAACCCUGAUGCAGCAACGCCGCGUGAGUGAUGACGGCCUUCGGGUUGUAAAGCUCUGUCUUCAGGGACGAUAAUGACGGUACCUGAGGAGGAAGCCACGGCUAACUACGUGCCAGCCGCCGCCGUAA